GACGAACGCUGGCGGCGUGCUUAACACAUGCAAGUCGAGCGGUAAGGCCCUUUCGGGGUACGACGAGCGGCGAACGGGUAGGAGUAACAACGUGGGUGGACCUCGCCCUCCAGCUCUGGGAGUAAGCCUCGGGAAACCGGGUACUAAUACCGGAUAUGACUCCAUGACGCAUGUUGGUGGGGUGGAAAGCCUUGUGCGGCUGAGGAUGGGCCCGCGGCCUAUCAGCUUGUUGGUGGGGUGGAGGCCUACCAAGGCGACGACGGGUAGCCGGCCUGAGAGGGCGACCGGCCACACUGGGACUGAGACACGGCCCAGACUCCUACGGGAGGCAGCAGUGGGGAAUCUUGCGCAAUGGGCGAAAGCCUGACGCAGCGACGCCGCGUGAGGA
rnacentral:rRNA from 1 species